GAUGAACGCUGGCGGCGUGCCUAAUACAUGCAAGUCGAGCGAACGGACGAUACGCUUGCGUCUCUGAUGUUAGCGGCGCGCGGGUGUGUAACACGUGUAUACCCCCCCUAUCAUUGUGGUAUAAUUUCGGGACACCGGAUCUUAUACCGGAGGAUCUUUUGCACCACAUUGUGCAUUGGAGAAAGACGGUCUUGGUGUCUGUUCUAGCUGGAUCUGGGCUUCAUUAGCUAGUUGGUAAGGUAACGGCUUACCAAGGCAACGAGGCAUAGCCGACCUGAGAGAGUGAUCGGCCACACUAGAACUGAGACACGGUCCAGACGCCUAAGGGAGGCAGCAGUAGGGAAUCUUCCGCAAUGGGCGAAAGCCUGACGGAGCAACGCCGCGUGAGUGAUGAAGGUCUUCGGAGCGUAAAACUCUGUUAUUAGGGAAGAACAGAUGUGUAAGUAACUGUGCACAGCGUGACGGUACCUAAUCAGAAAGCCACGGCUAACUACGUG
rnacentral:rRNA from 1 species